GACAAAAAUGAAGCAAAACAAGGAAGGCCGCCCCAGCUCCGCUCUUCCUUCAGGCUUGGCACCACCAGUGCGAAGGUGCCAUAAUUUUUUUCACCCUGAUAUUGCGUGCGUUUUAUGAAGCAUUAUGUUCCUGUCGUUCCCACUGCGGGAGCAUUUAAU
rnacentral:lncRNA from 1 species